rnacentral:tRNA from 1 species
GGCGCCAUAGCCAAGUGGUAAGGCAGAGGUCUGCAACACCUUCAUCCCCAGUUCAAAUCUGGGUGGCGCCUCCA